rnacentral:rRNA from 1 species
UGGGGAAUCUUGCACAAUGGAGGAAACUCUGAUGCAGCGACGCCGCGUGAGCGAUGAAGCCCUUCGGGGUGUAAAGCUCUUUCGACGGGAACGAUAAUGACGGUACCGGGAGAAGAAGCUGCGGCUAACUACGUGCCAGCAGCCGCGGUAAUACGUAGGCAGCAAGCGUUGUUCGGAGUUACUGGGCGUAAAGAGUGCGUAGGCGGUUUUCUAAGUUCGGUGUGAAAUCUCCCGGCUUAACUGGGAGGGUGCGCCGAAGACUGGGAAGCUGGAGUGUGGGAAAGGCAGGCGGAAUUCCUGGUGUAGCGGUAAAAUGCGUAGAUAUCAGGAGGAACACCGGCGGUGUAGACGGCUUGCUAGACCAUAACUGACGCUGAGGCACGAAAGCGUGGGUAGCAAACG